rnacentral:tRNA from 1 species
GCGGGUGUAGCUCAGGGGGAGAGCGAAGGGUUGUGGUCCCUUAGGUCGCGGGUUCAAAUCCCGUCACUCGCCCCA